GCCGUCAGUCGUCAGGGAGGCGAGCCGUGGAUCAGAAUCGGCGUUCCCGUCUGAUCCAUGGAUCGGAAAGUUCGCUUUUCCGUCCAAUGGCCGCAGACCGGAAUUGAUGCAGAACCGAGAGUCCUCUCGCCUAGGGCGUGGGUCAUUUGGAAGCUGAGGAAUGCGGGGAUAGAGGGAAGGAGCGCCGGCGGCGAGACACCAUGGAGUUUCUGAUGCAGCCCAUCGGCAGGUAUGUGGAUCUCUGCUUUCCCGGCGAUGCCGUCUCCAUAUUAGCCUCUGGUUUGGCUGAUCCAUAGGAUUGGUUUUUCCCAAGUUUCAGAUCCACUCUGCUUGAAGAGGUAGGGAUAGUUUGGUGCCGGCUCCUGCGGCUCUGGGAUGGGGGGUUUUGAGGUGGCACAGCCGGUGGAGCGCGAGGCGGCGCAGCAUCGGAAGGUGGACAGUGCCAUAGUGGCGAGGCACAAAUCUUCUUGGGGAAGGAGACGGCGGCGGGCAGAAGAGAGAGCUCGCCGCCGACAUCCGAGCUGUCAACGAGGAAAAUGAACCUCCAAGCCCCUGGGUGGAACACGAGGCUGAGGAUUGAUGUUGCUGCACCGAGCAGAACACCCUGCCCAAAUCGUAUAAAUGCGUUCGAGAAGGCAGUCAGGUGUUUUGCAAAGAACCCGGCUGAAAAUGUGAUCACACCGGUUCUUGGAAGAUGACAGGAAGCUCAGGGAGCAAGAGAAGGAUGUUGAGGUUGCAAGGAAGUGUCAGGAGGACGCAGAGAGGAACGCGAUGAAACAUUUUGUUGAAAUUUGUUGAUUAUUGGGCAUGUGGAAGAUGAUAGUUGUAUGUGUUGGUGCAGCCACAGAUGAGGAGAUCGCACACGCAUCUCGAGAUGUUGCUGCUAGUGGGCCUGUAUAUAAUGUUGCUCAGGAAUCAACCCGGAAGGUGGUGGCAUGCCAGGUGGUUAGACAAGUUUGGAUGAUGGUGGCAUUGAUCGGAGCUGGCAAUUAAACUACGGUGGGCGGAAUCGCAAUACUAGACGUGCCGGUGGUGGUGGGAGCAGCACUGUGAAGCGGUCUCGACACCGGAAGGGCAAUAAGAGAGCAAAAAGAAGAAGGAAUACGAGAUGGAGUUAGUUCGGUUCUCUAAUAUUGUUGAAAUGAUAUGCACAUGUCUCAGAGAGCUCAGAAGACAAUGGCACAAGCAGUGACGAUAGCAACAACGCUAGUGGUGAAGACAUGGGUUAUACUGGCCGCGCAAGCAAGGAAACAAAUAUUUGUGGAAGUACUUUAUUUUUGUUUGUUCAUGGAACCGUAUGUGCUAAACCUUACAUCAUCAGGAUGUAAAACAGAGCCAAGGGAUAUAUUGGUGGCACGGGACAGGG